CCCCGGGCUCAACCUGGGAACUGCAUUCGAAACUGGCAGGCUAGAGUCUUGUAGAGGGGGGUAGAAUUCCAGGUGUAGCGGUGAAAUGCGUAGAGAUCUGGAGGAAUACCGGUGGCGAAGGCGGCCCCCUGGACAAAGACUGACGCUCAGGUGCGAAAGCGUGGGGAGCAAACAGGAUUAGAUACCCUGGUAGUCCACGCCGUAAACGAUGUCGAUUUGGAGGUUGUGCCCUUGAGGCGUGGCUUCCGGAGCUAACGCGUUAAAUCGACCGCCUGGGGAGUACGGCCGCAAGGUUAAAACUCAAAUGAAUUGACGGGGGCCCGCACAAGCGGUGGAGCAUGUGGUUUAAUUCGAUGCAACGCGAAGAACCUUACCUGGUCUUGACAUCCACAGAACUUUCCAGAGAUGGAUUGGUGCCUUCGGGAACUGUGAGACAGGUGCUGCAUGGCUGUCGUCAGCUCGUGUUGUGAAAUGUUGGGUUAAGUCCCGCAAC
rnacentral:rRNA from 1 species